rnacentral:rRNA from 1 species
GACGAACGCUGGCGGCGUGCUUAACACAUGCAAGUCGAGCGUGAAAGGGACCUUCGGGUCCUGAGUAAAGCGGCGAACGGGUGAGUAUCACGUGGGCAACCUGCCCCAAGGAUCGGGAUAACUCCGGGAAACCGGGGCUAAUACCGGACGUUCUUGUAUCGCAUACGCGGUGCAAGCAAAGGUAGCUUCGGCCUCCGCCUUGGGAUGGGCCCGCGGCCUAUCAGCUUGUUGGUGAGGUAAUGGCUCACCAAGGCGACGACGGGUAGCUGGUCUGAGAGGACGAUCAGCCACACUGGGACUGAGACACGGCCCAGACUCCUACGGGUGGCUG